rnacentral:rRNA from 1 species
GAUAAACGCUAGCGGCGUGCCUUAUGCAUGCAAGUCGAACGGUUUGUUGAAAGAUAAAUAGUGGCAGACGGCUGAGUAAUACGUAAGUAAUCUGUCCCGAAGUGGGGAAUAAUCCGCCGAAAGGUGGACUAAUACCGCAUGUGAUGGUGAGAUCAGUUUUUCAUCAUUAAAGCUCUCGGGCGCUUUGGGAGGGGCUUGCGUCCUAUCAGGUAGUUGGUGGGGUAACGGCCUACCAAGCCUAUGACGGGUAGCUGGUUUGAGAGGAUGUCCAGCCAGACGGGGACUGAGACACGGCCCCGACUCCUACGGGUGGCUG